GGCGAACACCAGGUCUGUGAGCGGCCCGAAGCCGGCGUUGUGCAUCUGCGUGCGGUUCAGCGUCAGCCCGUCCGAGAAGGUCAUGGUGUCCUGCUCGGGGGUGUAGCGCGUGCAGAUCCGCAGCAUCAGGAUGUCCAGGCAGGCGGCUUUGAGCAGCGUGAUCUGAUCGGCGAUGCUGAGCGCGGUGAAGCCGGGCAGGCGCUUGGCGAACUCCACGAUCUUGAUGAUGCAUUUGGUGGCCAACUCGCUGAAUUUGUCCCACAGCCCCGGGUCCAACUGCACGCGGUGCUGAGCGCUCGAGCUCAUGGUGUAUUUGCCCAGCUGGCACAGUGAGGGGAAGGUCUCCUGGUGCGCCCUGCUGACCUUCUGGAUCAGCUCCUCCAGCGCCGGGCUCAGCUCGGGGCUGUCGGCCGCCUCCUCCUUCACCUCCUUCUUCUUCUUAUUGCGGUCAUUGCGCACGGCUGUGGGGGGGGGGGGG
rnacentral:lncRNA from 1 species